rnacentral:rRNA from 1 species
AUUGAACGCUGGCGGCAUGCCUUACACAUGCAAGUCGAACGGCAGCACAGAGGAGCUUGCUCCUUGGGUGGCGAGUGGCGGACGGGUGAGGAAUACAUCGGAAUCUGCCUAUUUGUGGGGGAUAACGUAGGGAAACUUACGCUAAUACCGCAUACGACCUACGUGUGAAAGCGGAGGACCUUCGGGCUUCGCGCAGAUAGAUGAGCCGAUGUCGGAUUAGCUAGUUGGCGGGGUAAAGGCCCACCAAGGCGACGAUCCGUAGCUGGUCUGAGAGGAUGAUCAGCCACACUGGAACUGAGACACGGUCCAGACUCCUACGGGAGGCAGCAGUGGGGAAUAUUGGACAAUGGGCGCAAGCCUGAUCCAGCCAUGCCGCGUGGGUGAAGAAGGCCUUCGGGUUGUAAAGCCCUUUUGUUGGGAAAGAAAAGCAGCCGGUUAAUACCCGGUCGUUCUGACGGUACCCAAAGAAUAAGCACCGGCUAACUUCGUGCCAGCAGCCGCGGUAA